rnacentral:rRNA from 1 species
UACGUAGGGGGCUAGCGUUGUCCGGAUUUAUUGGGCGUAAAGAGCGUGUAGGCGGCCAGGUAGGUCCGCUGUGAAAGUCCGAGGCUCAACCUCGGAAUGUCGGCGGAAACCCUCUGGCUAGAGUCCGGAAGAGGAGAGUGGAAUUCCCGGUGUAGCGGUGAAAUGCGCAGAUAUCGGGAAGAACACCCGUGGCGAAGGCGGCUCUCUGGAACGGUACUGACGCUGAGACGCGAAAGCGUGGGGAGCGAACAGGAUUAGAUACCCUGGUAGUCCACGCCGUAAACGAUGGGUGCUAGGUGUGGGGAGUGUCAACUCUCUCCGUGCCGAAGCUAACGCAUUAAGCACCCCGCCUGGGGAGUACGGCCGCAAGGCUAAA